CCAAAAAAAAAAAAAAAAAAAUCAGUAAUUAAUAGUAUCCAAAAUGGAGGAGAUCACUCGCAAAACCACCACUCCUCUUCCUCUGCUUUCUUUGCUAUAAAGAUUUUUUUUCUUUUUUUUCUAUAGAGUAGUCAUGAUCAGAGCCAGAGAGCACCAGCCUCCUUAAGGAGAGGCACAAGAGUACCAUUAAUAUGAGAAGCCAUGACUCUAUCCAUGGCACCCACGAGUUUGCCACCAAUGAACACAACAGGAACAGCAGAUGAGCUCCCAAGAAGCCUCAUGAGAGCCUCCUCCAUCUCCUUCCCUCUGGGGUCCUCGUCUAGCUCAUGCACUGUUGGGUUCACCCCCAUACCACAGAAGAGCCUCUUUACGGCAUGGCACAUGCAGCAUGUGCUUAUGCUAAAGAUUACCACAGCAUUCUCUGAGGCUAACCACUCUAUGAGUUCCAAUGGGUCACCAACAUUUCUUGGUGGCAAAUAAGACCCCCAAGAUGAGUCCGUCUGAUACAUUUUUCUAUCGAGAAAUGGAAAGACAAUGAGGCAGCAGCAGCAGCAGCAGAAGCUAGCAAGAAAUGGAAAGAACCAAGGUGUGUGUGUCUAUAUAUAUAUUAAACAACUCUUCUCUGGAAUAGUCUUGGGUAAGUGAAGGUGAACUUCUCUGGAAUAGUCUUGGGUAAGUGAAGGUGAA
rnacentral:misc_RNA from 1 species